rnacentral:rRNA from 1 species
UACGUAGGGGGCAAGCGUUGUCCGGAUUUAUUGGGCGUAAAGAGCGUGUAGGCGGCCAGGUAGGUCAGCUGUGAAAACUCGAGGCUUAACCUCGAGACGCCGGCUGAAACCCUCUGGCUAGAGUCCGGAAGAGGAGAGCGGAAUUCCUGGUGUAGCGGUGAAAUGCGCAGAUAUCAGGAAGAACACCGGUGGCGAAGGCGGCUCUCUGGACCGAGACUGACGCUGAGGCGCGAAAGCGUGGGGAGCAAACAGG